rnacentral:sRNA from 1 species
AAAGCUCUGGUAAACGUUUUGAGCUUGGUGGUCUGAUUUUGGAAUCAAGCUUGGGUAAACAUCUCUUUGUGGGUAUCACUGUAGAUUCCUGAGCGGCACACGUGUCCAUGAAAUCCACCUCAUCAAAGUCUUCAUUUUGUUCGUCAAUCUUCGAUGGAACUGUAAUUUUCUCUUUGGAAUCUCUCCUUACAAAAACCUGCGGCUGAGGUAACAACCGUCGCUGAGGUCUGAUAGUGACUAGUUUCUGUUCGGGUACAUCCUCAAUCGGUACGUCUGUCUCUUCCUCUAUUACAUCACUGUGCAGGUCAUGUGACACGAGUUCUAUCUUGGACACUUUGUCAACUGGAGCAAAUAUUCCAUGUCCGGGUCGACAAGUGAAAUACCUCACACCCUCUACCUCACCAUCAUGUUUCCCUUCCGGCUCGAAUAACUCGAUUCCACACCAUAAUCCUGCAGCGAUGUGUGUUUUUCCGAAAUAACGCAGCGCACCGAGCUUUAUCCCACCAAUACAAACUUUGUCGCCGACCUGAAGUAGAGGUUUGAUGGUCUCCGGUUUCGAAAAUUGCUUUGGGUGCUCUUGUGUGCUUUGGCCCUGUAUUUCUGAGGUUGCAGCGAAGGAUUUGGGGGUUGGGAGGAAAGAUCGCCUUUUUUCUCUACUCCUCCCUUCCGGAACAGGAAGCUUUCUCUCAAAGUUAGCCUGGAAAAUAUAUAAAUAAAAGAUGUAAUAAUGCAUGAUUUUGAUGGGAAUUUAUUCAUACUGUAUGAGUCAACAUUGCAGGAAAAAGUGGCCAUGGUUUUUCCCCCAUUAUAUUUGACCCCAGUAACAAGGAAUUGAUUUUAAGGAGUGCUGCUCAGGAUACUGUGUACAGUUUCCGACACAAAUAAACUUGAUUUUAUUGCACAGCGUAGACAAUCAAUUCCAAUAGUUUGUGAGUAACCAAUUGUGUUGUAAAAAAAAUCAAUACAGUUUUGCUAUAAAUGAGAUCACUUUGCAUAUAUACACAUAAUGAUAUAGAAUAUUUAUGUGCAUAGAUUACCAAUAUAUAUCAGCAACAUGAGUCUGUGCCAGUAUCUAUAGCUAAAUUCUCAAAAUAUACUUAUACAUAUCGUGUCAUAACUGUUUGUUUUUGAGUAAACAUGAUAUUUUUAUUUCAAUGUAAGUUUUCUCAAUACCUUUAGUAUUAAUAUUGAUACAAACAUCAUUAGCAUCCUUAACCUGAUACAUUUAGGGCAAUGAUCAGUAUAUUUUACAGUGUAAAUAUAGUAAGAGCUAUAUCAUAUGUAUAAACAUCAUGUUAUUUACACACACAGUGGGGUAACAGCUGUGAUAGGAUUAUAAGGCUGUCUUAGUGUUUAUUAAAAGCAGAACAAAUCUAUAUGGUUAAUAUUAAGAAAACACUUUAAAAGUUGAUUUUAAAGAAAUUUGUGAUUUAAAUCUUUAUGGUUUGUCAAAGGAAUGAAAUGAAACCUAAUUACAUUGUAUAAAU